AAAGACGAUAAAAGGAAAUCCAAACUAUUAUCAUUGUAACAACCUAAUAACACUCAAACUCCCAUUUCAGUACUAGGGAAAUGAGUUGAAAUCCAAUCAUGUUGUAGCCGAAGAUGUAGUCCCGUGUCUGGUCCUGCUAGUCCAGUCUGAAGAUUACCUUGAAAGACAUUUUCCUCUUCCGGCUCCAAAAGCUCAGUGAAAUCCUCAAGGAGAAAACUUCAGGUGAAGAGUCAAAGCCAGUUUUUCAACUUUUUGGUAAUCUUGCCCUUCCAUGCUGAAAAGGUGUCCCCGCCUUGCUGGAUCAGAUUAUAAUCCACAUACAUCUUUCCCAUACUGCGACUCUUCAGCUGACUCCCUCAGAGUAACCAGCUGAUUUAUUUAAUAAAACCAAUGCUUUAGCAUUCCUGAAAAUACUGCUUCCAAUAGAACGCUCCCAUGCUGUGAUUGGUGAAGUGCUUGAUCUCAGAAGGAGCUCCGAGUGCAUCAUCCAUUUCACUUAUGUGCUCCUGAACAAAUGCGCUCAUUUCAUUAUAUACCAAAUUUAUUCCACUAACGUCACCGAAUGCCUGAAAAAUAUAGUGUGCAGACUCAUUGGUUGUGACACAGUCCAGUGCAAUAUCAAGUUAAAAGAAGCAAAAGUACGUAGAGUUUGAACAUGAUUUAUUUGUUUGUUUAAAAUACAGAUUAGCAGCUCCUCUCUGUGUGAAAUUUGGUACUCUCAUGCCAAUAACCCAGAUUCAUGGCAAUGUACAAUUUGAGUUUCAUGGUUGAAUUCCGCUCCUGUGUUUUGUAACAAUUUUUUUAACAGCCCUGCCAAAACACUACAUAGGGAGUGUGAUUACAGAGAGCUUCACUAACAACAUGUACAGUGGCAAAUGAAGACUUAACUACAUAUGAAAGAUGCAUUCACCUAGGAUUUUGGUUCAGCUCAAAAAAUAAAUAUAGUAGAAUGGGAGUGUUUCUUGUGAACAUCUAAGGAAAAGCACAUAAAAUAGAUUCUUAAUGGGGGGAAACUAUUUGUUUUGGUGUGACAUUAAGGGUAGAAAAAUAUUGUAGAUAAAUUAUUAAAAUCUAGAAUGGGACUGUCAUUAUCCAUUGUCAUGUUACAUCUUGAUGAUAAGCUACAGGCUUGAAAAGGGACUGAUGUGGCCUCUCAAGACAAAUACAGUUGGCGUCCUCAUUAUCUAUAUAAAGACGAAAGCAGAAUUGGAAUGAUCUCUCAUGGAUGGCCAAUCAAGUAUAAGGCAUGGAGAUUAGACAUACAAAACAACAAGCAAUUAAGGCGAACCCACUACCUUAAUGGAACAAAUGAACAAACUGUAUUGGAGAUGUAUGGGGGUUGUCUGAAACCCACAAUGUUCAUUCAAAGCACCUAGGAAUAUGAACAUGUGGACAGACAGAGCAUAAUUUGUCUCCUGGUGCCCUGCUAGGAAUGGGCAAACCUGUCAAUUUCAGUUUCUCUCUGUUUUUGUUCCCCAGUCCUAAGUUCAAUUCUUCAUAUUUCCAUGUUGGUUUAUAAUUUAUUUAGUUUUUUUAAAAGUCCUCAUGAAAAUACAUCAGCGUUUUAGUGUGAAUUUUUCCUAAUAUACACAUUUUUGUUUGCAAAUUUUACUCAUAUACAUACGUUUGCAAAGCAUGUUUUCCCUAUUUAUAUUUUCCCUAAUAUAAUGCAUUUUUGUAUGUUAUUUUCAUGCACACUUUUACUUAGUACUUUUGUGCUUGUCUGGAGAACUGCCUUGCAAAAUUCAGAGAAGUGCGCAUUUUGAAGAAUGGCUAUGUUUCAGUUCUCAUAUUGUUUCAGAAAGUGUGAAUUAGACAGACUCACCUUUAAACUUGAGCUGAAUCAACUUUCUUCCCCAUUCCUAUGUCCUGCUCCCUACUUGGACAUGUAUUGCACAAUUCCAACUGAUAAGCUGGUUCAGAGCUUUGGAUGAACUCGUGCCCAGCUGGCAUGAUUUCACUUCUCCCUGACCACACAUUUAUUUUCCUGAUUAUAUCACAUGUACCGGGCCAAUAUGUUCUUAGUACAUUCCUUUGUCUAUAGUUUACACUUCUUUUCUUUUGUGUGUGUGAUGGGGUUGCCUUUGUUUAUGAUUUUGUAUAUGGACACGAAUACUGAAAGUGUAGGACAUAAUCCAGUUAAAUUUAAGCACUUUUAAGCCCCAUCCAUUUCAAUGAGAGUAAGUUGUAGCUUGUGCUUAACUCUGUUGAAAUCAAUGGGUGCCAAGAAGGCUUAAAUUCAUACUGAGACUGAUCUUCAUGGUCCCACUUAAUUAAAUGUUACUAAUUAUAAUAAUCACAUCACAUUUUAUAAGCUAUAACAAAUUUGCAUACAAUGAACUGUAACAUGUGUAGAUAUAUAUAUAGUGCUAAGAUAUUGGACAUAGUCUGAAUAUUGAAUUAAUUAAAGCCAGUCAUUGUUUCUGAAAGUGACUCAAUGGCAGUAACCUUUUAAUUAAUCAACUUCGCCCAAAAGUUCACUUCACAGUGUAAUUAUAAAUGUGAGCAAAAUUAUAAUUGAUGCAUUUUGUCAAUCUAUGUAGCUGCAAGGUACUUUCUGAAAAGGUUAAAUUUUUGUUUAGGUAAACUGAACUAAUAUUGCUUCAUUUUAUUUAUUUUUUAAAAAAAAUUGAAUCAGCAAUAAGAUGUGCUAAGUAAAUAUUUGAAACAUGUAAACAUUAAAAAUGUGGAUUAAAGAUAUAUGUUGGGGUAUACUUGGAAUGAACUACAAAGUCUAAGCAAAGUUCUCUCCUGCUCCGUAAAAGCCCAUGUGCAAUGUUACUAUGUUUGUUUUACAAGAUGUAAAGGUAUAUGAACAUAUAUAUAUAUAUAAAUAUUUUAUUCUUUGGUCCAUAUUAAUGGAUCAAGGCAUAGGAGCCUAGCGGUGGUGAACUCUGAGAUAGAGCCCUCGUGUUGACUCCAUACUUCAGGAUAUCCAGAACUGGUUUCCUGACCUCAGGAAGACACAUAGUGACUAGUUAGUGAGUAAUAAGGAAGGUUCCAAAUUGAAGAUUUGGAAUAGUCGCUCUAAUGGAACAAAGACCCACAGCCCAGUAUAGAAUUCAGGUCAAUAAAACACACACAAGGUAAGUAAAUUCAUUCCAGAAACAGGAAUUUAUACUCAUGCAUGACAUUGGAGACAGCAGUACAAUCUUUAACUUCACCUAGGUAAGACAAAUAUUCCAGUCCUUUCAUGUUGCUAGAUCACUCACUUGCACCCCCUCCAACUAUUUAUUUUUAUUUUUAUUAUUGUUGUUGUUAUAUCUCCCAAUAGGAGCCUGGUUUACAUGCAAUCCUAGUUUACAUGCAAUCCUAUGCAGUCCAAAAACACAUUUAAGGUUAGGCUUUGUAUGGGUCAAAUUGGCACACUCAUUGCUCCAUCGACUUCCUGGUGCUCCAUAUCACUCCUUAGGAACAUCAACUCACUGCUCAGGAUAUAGGACCAAGGAAGGGUGAGAACUUUUGUGUCUGGUUGCUGGUUCUAAGGGAGAGCUGAACUCUCACUAGGCACAGAAAUCUUAUUCUUGACUUUCCUGAGAUUAUCGUCUCCAGGAAAGGUAUAUCCCUUCACUACUUCCUUUUCCUUCUUUCUUUCUGGUAUGAGUCUAUAUACUUGCAAUCUUGUGUGUGAAUAGGUGCAAGGUCUCUCUAUACUCUUAUAGCUCUUAUAGCUGUAUGAUUAUUUUAGCUAGAUGCUACCCAUGUUUUAACUGUAAAUUGAAAACUAUAUGUUUCCGUUUUUCAAUAA